CCACUCAGAGAAGACGAGAUCAUCUCCUACCUUCUCAUUGGCCUGGGCGAAGAGUACGACCCGUUUGUGACAUCGAUGACAACGUGCACUGAUGAUUUUACUCUCAGCGAUGUCUAUGCUCAUUUUCUGAGCUUUUACA